rnacentral:snRNA from 1 species
AGGCAAUCUGGCUGUGCCUUCUAUCAUCCCAUGUAUCACCAGGGUUGACUCGGCUGACCUGGCUGGCUAGGUGUGUGUCUCUCCUGAAGUUGUGCGCUCAGUGGAAGAGGGCAAUCUUCCCUGAAUAGAAGAGGACCAGACUUCAGUCAGGGGUAUAUGAGUACCUGUGCUCCUCUGCUAGAACCUCCAAAAAAGCUCUCAAGAAUUCUAAGUCCCACUGGCUUCCAGUAUUUGCAAAUAAAGUUUUAUUGUAACAGAGUUGUGUUCAUUUGUUUAUGUAAUGUCUAUGCCUGCUGUCAGGGGUGUG